CUUUGUUGCCAUGCUACACCCAACGCUAUUGUUAUAUGUGAGUAUGAGGAUAAACUUCAGUGUUAAAAAUCAGAUGAGAGGAAGAAGCUCCUCGUAUGAGGUUUAAAUUGUGUAUAACCAAUUUUUCAACUUGCAUGAAAAGUGCGACAAAUUUGAGAUGCAGAAUGGCCUUCAACGAGGCGUUGAAGGUAAAUAAAACAUGGGGAAAAAGUGACAAUUUAACUUUGUGGAAGCAUUUUUUCUUUACCAAAAAAAACGAACGAUAGAUAAUGUUUAUUUUAUUUAAGCCUUUGAGUGCGCUUGUGGUGAUUUUCUGUCAUCAAUAUUUAUGCACCUGACAGCUUUGAAAGAGUAAACCAGGCACUAAGAAGCGUUAUAGUACAUAGAGUAUAGAAUAUGUAAAUGGAUGAUCAUAUUGCGAUUUUG